rnacentral:rRNA from 1 species
GACGUAGGGCGCGAGCGUUGUCCGGAUUUAUUGGGCGUAAAGAGCUCGUAGGCGGCUUGUCGCGUCGACUGUGAAAUCCCGCGGCUCAACUGCGGGUCUGCAGUCGAUACGGGCAGGCUAGAGUUCGGUAGGGGAGACUGGAAUUCCUGGUGUAGCGGUGAAAUGCGCAGAUAUCAGGAGGAACACCGAUGGCGAAGGCAGGUCUCUGGGCAUUACCUGACGCUGAGGAGCGAAAGUGUGGGGAGCGAACAGG